rnacentral:rRNA from 1 species
CGGCAACAGCUCAAAUUUGAAAUCUGGCCCCUAGGGUCCGAGUUGUAAUUUGCAGAGGAUGCUUUUGACAAGGUGCCUUCCGAGUUCCCUGGAACGGGACGCCAUAGAGGGUGAGAAUCCCGUACGUGACUGGCUGCCUUCGCCUAUGUGAAGCUCUUUCGAC